UACGUAGGGUGCGAGCGUUAAUCGGAAUUACUGGGCGUAAAGCGUGCGCAGGCGGUCUGUUAAGACCGAUGUGAAAUCCCCGGGCUUAACCUGGGAACUGCAUUGGUGACUGGCAGGCUUUGAGUGUGGCAGAGGGAGGUAGAAUUCCACGUGUAGCAGUGAAAUGCGUAGAGAUGUGGAGGAAAACCGGUGGCGAAGGCGGCAUCCUGGACCGGCAUUGACGCUGAGGCGCGAAAGCCAGGGGAGCAAACGGG
rnacentral:rRNA from 1 species